rnacentral:rRNA from 1 species
GACGAACGCUGGUGGCGUGCCUAAUACAUGCAAGUCGAGCGAACUUGCGGGAGCUUGCUCCCAAAAGUUAGCGGCGGACGGGUGAGUAACACGUGGGCAACCUGCCUAUAAGACUGGGAUAACUUCGGGAAGCCGGAGCUAAUACCGGAUAAUUCUUUUCUACUCAUGUAGGAAAGCUGAAAGAUGGUUUCGGCUAUCACUUAUAGAUGGGCCCGCGGCGCAUUAGCUAGUUGGUGAGGUAACGGCUCACCAAGGCGACGAUGCGUAGCCGACCUGAGAGGGUGAUCGGCCACACUGGGACUGAGACACGGCCCAGACUCCUACGGGAGGCAGCAGUAGGGAAUCUUCCGCAAUGGACGAAAGUCUGACGGGGCAACGCCGCGUGAGUGAUGAAGGUUUUCGGAUCGUAAAACUCUGUUGUUAGGGAAGAACAAGUACUAGAGUAACUGCUAGUACCUUGACGGUACCUAACCAGAAAGCCACGGCUAACUACGUGCCAGCCGCCGCGGUAAUAC